UGUUUUGUUGAUUGUGGAAGAGAAGAAAAUACAUGAUGGCGGUACGCAACUCCGGGCUGUUCAUGUGUUGAGCCAAUGUUGAACUUUAUAACAUUGUUGCCUUGAACAAGAUUUGCCGUUUUUUACAACAGCCUGAAGAGGGCAAUGGUCAGAGGCCAUUCUCCAAAUAAACCAGCACAAAAGGAUAUAAAGUCUGAUUAUUUGAA